rnacentral:rRNA from 1 species
ACGCUGGCGGCGUGCCUAACACAUGCAAGUCGAGCGAGAAGUUGGAAGUGAAGAUUCGAUUGGAACGGAAAAUGGAAAGCGGCAGACGGGUGAGUAACGCGUGAAUAAUCAACCCUGCACAAAGGGAUAGCCUCGGGAAACCGGGAUUAAUACCAUAUGAAGUAUAUUAAUCGAAUGAUAGAUAUAUUAAAGUUUUUAACGGUGCAGGACGAGUUCGCGUCCCAUUAGCUAGUUGGUAAGAUAAUAGCCUACCAAGGCGACGAUGGGUAGCCGGCCUGAGAGGGUGAACGGCCACACUGGAACUGAGACACGGUCCAGACUCCUACGGGAGGCAGCAGUGGGGAAUAUUGCACAAUGGAGGAAACUCUGAUGCAGCGACGCCGCGUGAGCGAAGAAGGCCUUCGGGUCGUAAAGCUCUGUCCUAAGAGAAGAAGAAGUGACGGUAUCUUAGGAGGAAGCCCCGGCUAACUACGUGCCAGCAGCCGCGGUAAUACGUAGGGGGCUAGCGUUGUCCGGAAUUACUGGGCGUAAAGGGUGAGUAGGUGGUCAUUAAAGUCAGAUGUAAAAGGCAAUGGCUCAACCAUUGUAAGCAUAUGAAACUUAAUGACUUGAGUGCGGGAGAGGUAAAUGGAAUUCCUAGUGUAGCGGUGAAAUGCGUAGAUAUUAGGAAGAACACCAGUGGCGAAGGCGAUUUACUGGACUGUAACUGACACUGAGUCACGAAAGCGUGGGGAGCAAACAGGAUUAGAUACCCUGGUAGUCCACGCUGUAAACGAUGAGUGCUAGGUGUCGGCAAGAGAUUGUCGGUGCCGCAGUUAACGCAUUAAGCACUCCGCCUGGGGAGUACGAUCGCAAGA